rnacentral:rRNA from 1 species
GACAGAGUGUGCAAACGUUGCUCGGAAUCACUGGGCGUAAAGGGCGUGUAGGCGGGAAGGAUAGUCAGAUGUGAAAGCCCUGGGCUCAACCCAGGAACUGCAUUUGAAACUCCCUUUCUUGAGUGUCGGAGAGGAAAGCGGAAUUCCUGGUGUAGAGGUGAAAUUCGUAGAUAUCAGGAGGAACACCGGUGGCGAAGGCGGCUUUCUGGACGACAACUGACGCUGAGACGCGAAAGCGUGGGGAGCAAACAGG